rfam:Oryza meridionalis cultivar OR44 (W2112) chromosome 8, whole genome shotgun sequence.
AAUAAAUGCAGUUCUAGCACUGUUCAUGUUUAACGUUUAAUCGUUUGUCUUAUUUGAAAAAAAUUAUGAUUAGUAUUUUUAUUGUUAUUACAUGAUAAAACAUGAGUAGUACCUUUUGUGUGACUAAUUUUUUUUUAUUUUUUCAUAAAUUUUUCAAAUAAGAUGGACGGUCAAAACGCUAAACACGGAUAUCUAUGACUGCACUUAUU